ACUGAACGCUGGCGGCAUGCUUUACACAUGCAAGUCGAACGGUAACAGGUUAAGCUGACGAGUGGCGAACGGGUGAGUAAUGCAUCGGAACGUGCCCGGUCGUGGGGGAUAACGCAGCGAAAGCUGCGCUAAUACCGCAUACGAUCUAAGGAUGAAAGCGGGGGACCGUAAGGCCUCGCGCGAUCGGAGCGGCCGAUGUCAGAUUAGGUAGUUGGUGGGGUAAAGGCUCACCAAGCCAACGAUCUGUAGCUGGUCUGAGAGGACGACCAGCCACACUGGGACUGAGACACGGUCCAGACGCCUACGGGAGGCAGCAGUGGGGAAUUUUGGACAAUGGGCGAAAGCCUGAUCCAGCAAUGCCGCGUGCAGGAAGAAGGCCUUCGGGUUGUAAACUGCUUUUGUACGGAGCGAAAAGGUCUCCUCUAAUACAGGGGGCUCAUGACGGUACCGUAAGAAUAAGCACCGGCUAACUACGUGCCAGCCGCCGCCGUAA
rnacentral:rRNA from 1 species